rnacentral:rRNA from 1 species
UACGAACUGUGCGAACGUUAUUCGGAAUCACUGGGCUUAAAGGGUGCGUAGGCGGCUGCCUAAGUCAGGUGUGGAAAUCUCCCGGCUCAACCGGGAAACUGCGCUUGAUACUGGGCGGCUCGAGUGAGGUAGGGGUGUGUGGAACUUCCGGUGGAGCGGUGAAAUGUGGUAGAUAUCGGAAGGAACGCCAGCAGCGAAAGCGGACACACUGGGCCUUUUCUAGGACGCUGAGGCACGAAAGCCAGGGGAGCGA